AAGAAUAUAUUUGACCCUUUCCCGAUAGUACAGGGGUAUAUUUGGCCCUUUUCCAUUUUUUAAAAUCUAAACUAGCCCCAAUUAAUCAGAUCCAUUUCUUUUAACACUUAAACCCAGGAACCAUUUUCUAGACGCAACAUUCAGCCAUGCGCUUAACCAUCAGCCGAUGAUUCAAACUCCUAAAAAAUUCCCUCUGCUUUCAGGAUUUCAUGAUUAGGGAAUGGGCCAUCAGCCAACAAGAAGACUUCUAAAACAACUUGAACUAUCACAAGCAAUUGCAAUGAAGAAAUACUCAAGCUACAUACAUGCAUACAAUCCUCUUUAAGUUUCAACAAAAUACAAGAGUUUUUUUAAUGAUAAAGUACACAUGCUCUCACCAAAUUUCAUAAAAGAACAUGCACUUGGAGUUGGCCAUUUUGUAAUUAUUAUUCUCCCCUUAUGAUUAUCUAUUGCGAGGUGAGGUGAGGUAAUGUCCUAUUUCUUA